CUCUGCUGUAGGUAGAGUUAUUUCCUAUUGGUCUUGAUCCUUAGCUAGCCUAUGGGUCUGAUUCAUUGCUUUGCCUGAUGAACACUAAAAAAGCAGUGAAGGCAAUGUAUGGGAGUCUACCUUCCCGACAAUGCUACUCUUCCAGUGAAGACCAAGGUCAACUUUCCUGACUUCUCACAAUCUCUCAGAAACAAUAACCUCUUGAGAUAUCGUGGGAGGAACUUAGAUGUUGUCAGUGCUGAAUGUCACUGAAUGUGCUAAGGUCAACAUCGGUCAGAGGGCCCCUUCAGUCUACUGGAUGUUGCUUUUCUUGUACAAUGAAUUUGAAGAUGGAAAAGAUUGUGGAGAUGCUGUGAAGAACUAAUGAGGGACAGACAGGUCUUAGACUUAAGCUUGGACUGUAUGUGAAGAUACAGACUGUACAUCCUCUGUUCUGUAGUAUAAAACUGUGUAUCUGUACAUACUACUGUGGCAAGCAGCCAAAAAAGCAAUCUUUCUCAUACGUGGUGGCCUAGUUUGGUUCCACAAUAUAAGUCAGCAUGAAUAGGGGUCUGGGAUUUUAGGGUAAAGUCCGUGUUGUUCCAUGGUCACAAAAUGGAUAGGUAAUCCACUGACCAUGCAAAUGGUACUAGAGUUCAGCCUCUCUGUUGUCUGUGCCAUGCCAAAAAAAAAUAUUAAAAUUUUAAAAAACAAUCUAGAGAAAAUUCAACAAGCAAAUAUUAGGUACGUAUUCUAUUUUCUUAUCACUCCUGCAUAAAUCUGUCACUGCUAGAAACUUUCACAGACUUCAUUGACUUUGAAUGGCUGUUGAAAUGCAAGCAAUAGAAGCUAAUGGAACACUCCAUUUAAAAUCCACACACAAACAAGACAAUGGCUGAGAGAAUUAUAGAGAAACAGCUGUACUUCUAAUGGUUAUGAUCUAUUAUAUAAAAAAAAAGAAAAAAAAGAAAAAAAAAAGUAACCUGUGUUGUUACUUCAUUUCUCAGUUUACCUGAAAUGAGAAUUUAAUCUUGGAAAUGUAGAGUUUGUACCUGCUGAUUUGAGAAGUUUGUCACACAGUAAGAUCAGAAAUGUUGACACAAAUUUGUUGUGAUUCCAGAUGAGCAAAUUCACAACACUGAGCUUAAGACAAGAGAACUCUUCAUUAGGCACAUGCUGUCCUAGUUAGUACUUAUAACAAUAGAUCCAAAUCCUUCAGAGAUUUCACAGGGAAAAAAAAUCCUCUUUGAAAGAAGAACAAUUACAUUUCUCCUGUUGUUUUCUCUGGGAAUUGAUUAAUUCUUGAUUUGUUUCCAAAUUGAGAAUGUCAUCUAUUUGGGACCUCUUGAUCCUUGGAUGAUGUUACUAUCACAGGUGUUACAGAUGAUAUCUACCCUGUAGUGAGUAAUCAGUCAAGUUAAACAGCAAGAUCCUUGCAUAUAAAGCAGAAGAUAUCUGUGUUGGCAGAAGCUUUUAAAAAUAAAACAAGCAAAAAACAAACAACAAAAAACAAAAACAAACAAAAAAAAGCCAUAGUUACCUGGACGAGGCAGGAAUAAUUGCUAAUAUCUUAACGAAGCUCAUGUACUAAGGUGUCUUGGUAGCUUCCUGAAUUGUUUUAUAGUAGUUGGUGGGUUUUUUUAUUUGUUUAUUUAUUUAUUUUUAAUGUCAAGAUACUUGUUAGAAUGAGAUUUGCACUAGUAUGUAACAGUAGAAAGAAACUAAUAUCUAAGUUAUGGCUGUCUUGUUGAAUAUCUUUACAUAUGUAUUGGUCAAUGGAACCAGGCUUUGGAGACAUCACUUACAAUCACACCUGAAAAAUAUACAGAGUGUGGGGUCACUGACACAUAUGUGUGAGGCAUCUUUUUUGUUUUUUAUUCAUUUUGAAGAGGCCAGUCACUGGCAGUCACUUUCCCCACUCUGCAACACAAGUUUGGGAUUGUUUUGAGGUUGUAAGUGACAUUUUUUAUCAUGUAGGAUGGUCAGAAAUUGCUAGUUUAUUUUAUUAUUUAUUUUUCCCCCCCACUGCUUGAAAGCUUUGUUAUUCAUAUUUCAUAAGCUUUUUCUUUUUUUUUCCACACACAUUCUUUUUUUUUUUUUUUUUUUUUUUUGUGAAUGAAUCAAAAGCUAUUGUGAAGAUAAUUGCUUUGAAAUCUAGGUCUGUCAGCUGUUGAGUUCCACUUGCAACAUUCAAAAACAGCAACUGUCUGUACAUUUUGUAACUGUUGUUGUUUGUUUCUUUAGUAUCAAAUCUUCAAUUUCAUUAUUUGGAUUUCCACGAUUAACAAUCUAAUUAAAUGAGCAUUUCUACAUUUCAACUUCAAGUAUGUGAAACCUUAUUCUCAAUGUUAUUUUGUAUUAAAGAGUUUCCAAGGAUUCAUUAAUAAUCCAAUCCUAGAUAUAAAAAACAUGUAUUUAACACUAAAAUAUUUGAGUAUUAAUUAAAAUAUAUGCAAUGAAUUUAUCAUAAUAGU